UUAGUUGGAGACAAAUCACCCCAUUUCUGCACCAGUCCGUGUUAACACAGCCCACCUCUAGGAGUCUUACCCGACAAAGCUGCAUCUGCUCGGAUGGCUAGCAAGCCUGGUAGCUAGAUAGCGGGGUCCGGCGCACUGUUGUUCAGCCAUGUUUCCACAAAAAGAAAAACACAGUGGUCUCUGAACUCGCGUUGGGAGUUCCAUUGAAGUUGGAUGUAGUCCAGUCUGUUGUCUAAUGAUCGGACACCUGCAAGCAGGAUGGAUGGGACAGGUGGAC